UCAAAAAGUUGCUAGCCGCCAGAAGAAGAGGCCGUGGCUAUCAGUAUCUGGUGGAUUGGGAGGGUUAUGGCCCUGAAGAGCGCUCCUGGGUCCCCGCUAGAGACAUCAUGGACCCAGAGCUCAUCAAAAACUUCCACAAUGAACAUCCUGAUGUUCCUGGGCCGUCUGGAGCCAGCCGUGGAGGGGGGGGUACUGUCACAUCUCCAGAUCACUCCUUCCUGCCCAUCCCUACCUGUUUCCCUGUGUCCUGAUCAUCCUCAUGUGUCUCACCUGUGUUGAUUGUCGAGUGACUGCACCUGGUGAUCCCCGGCUGAGUGUUCCCCUCCUCGUGUAUUUAGCUCAUUCACUCCCUGUCUGCUGUGCGAGAUCGUCUUGUUUCCUUUGUGUCCAAUUCCUUCGAGCCUUACUUCUGAUUGACCUUCGUGAUUUAUUUGACCCAGUUUCCCGUCCUAGUUUCCGAGUUAGCCUGCCGUUUUUUGUACCUCUGCCUGCUUGUUUUGACCUCCCGUGUAUCGAACCUUUUUCCUGAUUAAACGGACUUGAAAGUGCUUGA